rnacentral:tRNA from 1 species
GGGGGUAUAGCUCAGCAACACAAGUACCUGCCUGGCAAGCACAAGGCUGUGAGUUCAAUCCCCGUUACCCUCC